GUUAAUGUAGCUUAAAUAAAGCAAAGCACUGAAAAUGCUUAGAUGGGUAUUCCAUACCCCAUAAACA
rnacentral:tRNA from 1 species